AUUGAACGCUGGCGGCAGGCUUAACACAUGCAAGUCGAGCGGGGUGAUGGUGCUUGCACUAUCACUUAGCGGCGGACGGGUGAGUAAUGCUUAGGAAUCUGCCUAUUAGUGGGGGACAACAUCUCGAAAGGGAUGCUAAUACCGCAUACGUCCUACGGGAGAAAGCAGGGGAUCACUUGUGACCUUGCGCUAAUAGAUGAGCCUAAGUCGGAUUAGCUAGUUGGUGGGGUAAAGGCCUACCAAGGCGACGAUCUGUAGCGGGUCUGAGAGGAUGAUCCGACACACUGGGACUGGGACACGGCCCAGGAUCCUACGGGAGGCAGCAGUGGGGAAUAUUGGACAAUGGGGGGAACCCUGAUCCAGCCAUGCCGCGUGUGUGAAGAAGGCCUUAUGGUUGUAAAGCACUUUAAGCGUGGAGGAGGCUCUUUUGGUUAAUACCCAAGAUGAGUGGACGUUACUCGCAGAAUAAGCACCGGCUAACUCUGUGCCAGCCGCCGCCGUAA
rnacentral:rRNA from 1 species